rnacentral:misc_RNA from 1 species
UACGGGGGGUGCAAGCGUUGUCCGGAUUUACUGGGCGUAAAGGGUCCGUAGGCGGUCCGUCGCGUCUUGUGUGAAAGGCUCGGGCUUAACUCGAGUUGUGCAUAAGAUACGGGCGGACUAGAGAGCUUCCGGGGUUGCUGGAACUCGCGGUGGAGGGGUGAAAUCCGUUGAUAUCGCGAGGAACACCGACGGCGAAGGCGGGCAACUAGGAAGACUCUGACGCUCAGGGACGAAAGCUAGGGGAGCGAAACGG